rnacentral:lncRNA from 1 species
AUGAAUUUUACCUACACGUCUGGCUCCUGUUCAGAUGUUUUAGAUUUCUUAGUCAACUUUAUUUGCUUGUGUUUCUUUAAAAAAUGGUGUUUGCUCAUGUUAAAACAGGGAACUAAGCUGUAUGUAGAAAAUAAUGAUUUACCUUCUGAAACUGCAAUACGCACAAAUGGAGCAAGAAGAAUACAGGUACAGUGCCUGGCUACCCUAGUUCCUCAGCUCACACUGCAAUUGAACUUGAGGUUUGGAUUGAAAAGUGAAGUUCUGUAAGAAGGGGAACUUACAAGGAAAUUUUACAUGAAGACCUACUGAUAUUUCAGAGGCUCUGAAAUAAAUCUCCUGUGAAGUAAGUUUCUAAAAUUUCAUGUCUUUCUUUCCUUCAUCACUCAGCCUUGAAGUUGGAAAACCAUAUUUUAUAUUAAUAGUCCUACAGAAUGUCAGAAGUUUGUGUCAAUAGUAGUCCACAUCACCUUAAUUCUCCUGACCUUUUUCAAAUAUGUUUUGCAUGAAGAGAUGAGUUCCAACUGUAUAUUUUUUAUCAGCUGUCAACUUUCCAUUGACCAAUGGUUCAUUUUCUCAUUUAAUAAAUCACUCCACUCUGCUACACAGUGGGAAACUUCCUGGUACACUUCCAGCAUAACUGAAAAUAGUUUGAUGUUCUCAGAUUCUCCCUGAAUAUUUGAAUGAAAAUAUUAGAGAACCUGCAAAGUCUUUGUAUACUGAACAUGGGAUCAUCAUACACAGCUUGCUAGCUUGCCAGAGAGCCAAAUAGAAGCAAACUGCAGCUGAAGGAAAAGUAUUCUGCUGGCCAGAGGGAAAGAUGAGCACAUCUGAGUCACACAUUCCAGUCCAAAAACAAAGCUUGGCUAUAUAUGUAUGCAUGUACAUACAUACCAUAGCAUAUCAAUAAUAAGCUAUUCAUAAAAUUCCAAAAGCUUUUUUUCUUAAUUUUCUCCCUCUGGAAUAGAGUAUAUAACCAUACUAGAUGUUCUAUUGUCUUGGAGCCCUUAUUUGUUUUACCUCCAUUUUCUAAAGUAAUAUUUAAUCCACCAGGUAUAGUGAGAAGGGUUGAUAAAAGCACAGAGUGAAAUAAGAUCUUAAGCCAAGAAGAGGUGAAUAAUAAACAAAUAGCUAAUUUAAAAGACUUCUCAAAUAGCUUCCCUUAGAUGAACAAACAAAUCUAGUCUAGCAGGCCUAUCAUGCUAAUGCUGUACAUUUUUGGCUCUUUGGCUAUAAUCCUUGUAGCAGAAAUUUGUCCUAACACUAAUUUUAGGAAUAAUAUCCAAACAAAUAAUCUUUGAAACAAAACCUUUAUUGAGCACUUAAUCCAUUCUAGGCACUGUUCUAAGUGCUUAACACAUGUCUAAUUGCAAUGAUCAUAACAAAGAGAAAGAUGUUAAAUAAGCCUGCUAAAAGUCACACAACCAGAAAGUGGCAGAGCUGGAAUUGAAAACCCCUCUGCCUGACUACAAAGGCCCAUGGUCCUAAACAUUAUCUAAUUCUGCCUUCAUUCUUGGUGUUCAAUGAGUAAUAACACAAGCUAUUUGCUCUAUAGCCUUAAAUAGUGAGAGGAUACAAUAGGAAAGAGUAAAAUUAUAAUAACAUCAUCCUACUACUCUGUUUUAUGGUAAAGCAAAUCAGUCAUCCCAAGAGAGAAAAAUCAUAUCUUUAUAUAUGUAUACAUAAUUUCAUUGUGAACCUACAAAAAGUCUCAAUUUUUAUCAAUAUACUCAUCCAAAGACUGAGUUGAGUGCACUGUACCUUCUUAGAGCUCUAUCCAGGAAAGGAUAAGAAAGCUUAUAUGUUUUUCCCCCCUAAAUGGCAAAAAGCCCAGACUUUUUUGUUAUCGUUCCACGGUAAACAUUUGUCUCUCCAGUCACCCAGAUUCAUGAUUCAUUUGUUAGGGGCUUAGUGGGCACAUUUUGGCCAGCAGCCUGCCAUGUGCCCAUGUCAGGCCUUGAGUGAGUUCUGUUCGCAGGAAGUCUCCUUUUGACCAUACAAGAGCAUGUGCAUGGAUUUCUAACCAGAAGCAGCUUAGCAAUAAGAUAGGUAUGCAGCACAGGAAAGGCUUAGGGAGGUACCUCGCCCAUGAAUUACCACAGCAGCCACACUUAGCAAUGAGCUUUGUUGGCUGUAAACCACAGUCGCAGAGCAGGAGCACUGAGGAUACACUGUUUAAUUGUGCCUCUCUACACGUUGGAUAGGACAGAGCUGUGACUGCUUUAAGAUCGCCUCCCGAGAACAUACACGAAGCAAGUCCAGAACUGCUGUGCCACAUGACAACUGUGUGUUCACUUUGUUUUAUCCUGAUUCAUAAUGGCCUUUUGAGUCAUACAACCUCACUAUUUAAAAUUCAUCAACACAGAAUCUAAAAAUCUGCAUAAAAUAUUCACAGUGCUUUCCUCCCACCCUGUCUUCAUGUACUUGUGGGCACUCAAGCUCCUGCUUCCAAGGGAGCCUCUCUACAGAACCACAACCAUAUGAAACUGGAAACUAGCUGAGAACAUAAAUGUAGGGAAAGUGGAGGCUAUAACAAAGUGGAGGAUCCUUUAAAGCCAUCUCUUCUCUUUUACUCUCUAUAUUUCUUAUUCCACUUAUUCUUAUAAUGAAUAAUAAUUGAGUGUCUUCUAUGUGCAAGGCACUGCAGUAGGGACAAAGGGGAGGGAGAACAUUUUGAGGCACAGAGUACUUUGGGAGGUAGGCUGCUGUUGGGUAGUGUGCCAACAAGCAUAGUUUGAAAAAGCAAAUAAGCACAACAUAUUUAAAAAACUGAGCAGCAAGCAAUAUUCAGGUGAAGAGGAACAAUAUAAAGUCAAAGAUUCCCAACAUAUAUUGCCUGUGUCAAAAUUUUAUCCAUAGCUAACCUAUAGACAGGAAAGAAGUAAAAGUGUGUUCUCUGCCUCCUUCCUCCCUGAACUCAGCUCUGUCUCAAAUAUAAUAACCACAGUUCAACUUAAUUAUACAUUCAAUGAGUUUCAGGUGGGGAGAGGCUAUAAUUAAAAAUAUUUUUCUGUGAGAAAUUAUGUUUAAGAGCCAAACCAUUUACAAGCAAAUUUGGGGGGUUAUGUGUACCUACAUGGAAUCAUGUUUUUUCCCCUUUUACAGGGGAAAAAAUGUGUCAGGACCUAAUGUGUCAUAUAUUUGUAACUACAUAACUAUUUAGAGUUUAACUACCUAUAUAAAUGCAAGCUGAAUAUGUAGUAAAAUUUCUUUCUUCACAGUAAAGGUUCAAGAUAUAUUUAUGGCUAAUAUCUUUCCACCUAUAAUAGACAAAAAAUGAGUUUUUUGGGCAGGAGGGGAUUCUAAGUAUGAGAUUUGUAUCCCAACUAUUCACUAAUAACAUAUUAAUUAUACACUUAAGGUGUUUUCCUCUUGAGUUGAAAUUUGUAGUAGAAUUCUUUUCAAACCUUAAAAAUU